rnacentral:lncRNA from 1 species
CUCGGGGUUAUCUUCCCCAUCUGACCUCAGUGAGUCUGACCCGGAGACGGGAAGGAAAAGGAAACGGAAAAGUUCCAGAGGCUUUCGGCAAUGAAAAGCCUACAUUUUUCUAAACAACUCUCCGAAAACUGCUUUUAGCAGGUGGAAAUAUUGACAUCUUUUGGAUACGACCAGUAAAAAAAAAACCUUUAAAUCAUAGGAUGUUUUCUCUUUCUGUGGCUUCGUUUUCUCCUGUUACUACAGCCAGACAUCCUCCGCUACUCCCAUUUGGCUUAAGACAACCAAGAUACCAGCAGAGAGCAGGAAAGUUGGCCUGGGUUCCCAAGCGCCCUCUAGGCAGUAAGCAUCUUAGUUU